UACGUAGGGUGCGAGCGUUGUCCGGAAUUAUUGGGCGUAAAGGGCUCGUAGGCGGUUUGUCGCGUCGGGAGUGAAAUCCACUGGCUUAACUGGUGGCUUGCUUUCGAUACGGGCAGACUGGAGGUAUGCGGGGGAGAACGGAAUUCCAGGUGUAGCGGUGAAAUGCGUAGAUAUCUGGAGGAAUACCGGUGGCGAAGGCGGCAUCCUGGACCGACAUUGACGCUGAAGCGCGAAAGCUAGGGGAGCAAACGGG
rnacentral:rRNA from 1 species